AGGCAGGAGAAUUGCUUGAACCCGGGAGGUAGAGGUUGCAGUGAGCCAAGAUUGCGCCACUGAACUCCAGCCUGGGCGACAGAGCAAGACUCUGUCUU
rnacentral:miRNA from 1 species